GGUGACCGGCCACAUUGGGACUGAGAUACGGCCCAGACUCCUACGGGAGGCAGCAGUGGGGAAUAUUGCACAAUGGGCGGAAGCCUGAUGCAGCAACGCCGCGUGCGGGAUGACGGCCUUCGGGUUGUAAACCGCUUUCGCCUGUGACGAAGCGUGAGUGACGGUAAUGGGUAAAGAAGCACCGGCUAACUACGUGCCAGCAGCCGCGGUGAUACGUAGGGUGCGAGCGUUGUCCGGAUUUAUUGGGCGUAAAGGGCUCGUAGGUGGUUGAUCGCGUCGGAAGUGUAAUCUUGGGGCUUAACCCUGAGCGUGCUUUCGAUACGGGUUGACUUGAGGAAGGUAGGGGAGAAUGGAAUUCCUGGUGGAGCGGUGGAAUGCGCAGAUAUCAGGAGGAACACCAGUGGCGAAGGCGGUUCUCUGGGCCUUUCCUGACGCUGAGGAGCGAAAGCGUGGGGAGCGAACAGGCUUAGAUACCCUGGUAGUCCACGCUGUAAACGGUGGGUACUAGGU
rnacentral:rRNA from 1 species